UGGUAGUGAAUAACUCUCACAAGAUCUGAUGGUUUGAUAAGGGGAAACCCGUUUCACUUGGCUUUCAUUCUCUCUUGCAGCCACCAUGCCACCUUCCACCAUGAUUUUGAGGCCUCCCCAGACACGUGGACCUAGCAACACAUGUUCUAACAUGUGUGAGACUGACUGCCUCUCCUCUAUGAAGAGAUGCCAGUGACAGCCAGGACUGGUGUAGGCUCUAUUGAGCAUCACAGUCAUAUGUGAGUGCCCAAGAGAAGCUAUUCACUUUCUCAGAUGCGGUUUGCAGAGGGAACUUCACAGGCUCUCUGGGAUUGCUCACAUUUGGCAGCUAAAGUGGAAUCACCAAUCCAAAAUACUCACCCCAGGCGUGGGGUCACUCCCAGUGGCGGAGAUGCCCUGCAUUUCCAUUGCCUGGACUGAGGAACAGAUGAAAGGGGAACCACACCAGGGUGGUGGCCUGGGAUGUGCCUACUCCCUAAGCCAAGCUUCUCUGUCCUGAGUGGGCUUAGGGUCCCCUGCAGCGUGGGUGUUAAAUGCUGCUUCCUAGGCCUCACCCUCAGAGCUUCCAGUUCAGUCGAGUCCAGGUCCCUAACCUGUCGUCGUCCAAUUGAUUUUGAUCAGGUGCCCCAUGGCCCCACUUUGAGAAGCAGAUCGAGUCCACCUGUGCAUCUUCCCUGUUGUCCCUAAAAAUAAGGCUAAAAAAAGGCACCAGUUCAAAAAUCCAGUUUAUUUGUUUGAAGUUCAGGUUUACAGUUCCUCCAAUUCUCAGAUCGCAGAAGAAGCAUCUGGAAGGAAAUGACCCCUGCACCCACCACACC
ensembl:lncRNA novel transcript